rnacentral:rRNA from 1 species
UGGGGAAUAUUGCGCAAUGGGCGGAAGCCUGACGCAGCGACGCCGCGUGGGGGAUGACGGCCUCGGGUUGUAAACCUCUUUCAGCAGGGACGAAGCGGAAGUGACGGUACCUGCAGAAGAAGCACCGGUUAACUACGUGCCAGCAGCCGCGGUAAUACGUAGGGUGCAAGCGUUGUCCGGAAUUAUUGGGCGUAAAGAGCUCGUAGGCGGUCUGUCGCGUCGGCUGUGAAAACCCGGGGGCUUAACCCCGGGCCGUGCAGUGGAUACGGGCGAGACUAGAGGCAGGUAGGGGAGAAUGGAAUUCCCGGUGUAGCGGUGAAAUGCGCAGAUAUCGGGAGGAACACCGGUGGCGAAGGCGGUUCUCUGGGCCUGACCUGACGCUGAGGAGCGAAAGCGUGGGGAGCGAACAGGAUUAGAUACC